rnacentral:lncRNA from 1 species
CUAAGUAUGAGGAUAGCUACUAUUUAUUAAGCAGUAGGGUGCUAAGGGUGGGGCUUCUUUUACAUGAUCUUCUUGCAAAUGGUAUUAUUAUCCCCAAUUUUCAGAUGAGGAAACUGAGGAUUAGAGACAAUAAAUAAAUUGGCCAAAGCCAUUCAGCUAGUCAACGGCAGAGCCAAAAUGUGAAUUUAAUUUGUCUGACUCCAAAGCCCAGGCAUUCCUACUACAUCAUACCAAGCUGAAAAAGGGGGUGCCUUCUGUCCAGAGGGCUCACAGUGCCAGACACAGGGGCUGCCAAGAGGUGACAAAGCUGUCUCUUCUCAUGCUCAUCCCUCAGUAGAGGAGAUUUUGACAACUCAAGAAAAAUAAAGAGCCACAAAGUAAAACAGCCAAAGUCACGAAGGUAUAAAGGAGAAGCCAUGUGGAGCUCAAGCUUGCUAAGGAGUGGGACAGCCAGGACCGACCUGGGAAUGCCCAGAGCGGGGUAUCACGGAGGAGGAAACUAAUGGGAAGAAGGGAGUGUGCAUCUGGCAGGGAAACACAGAGCCCGGGCUAUUUCUUCCCUGGUGCCCCGCCCCUCCACCUUGGGGGAGGGCCCUG